AAGCUACCAGAUUAUUGUUAAAAAAAAUAAACACGUUUUGAGAGUCUACUGACCAUCAGCCAGAGGGAAGGUUCUGAGUCAUCCAAGUUCUCCAGCUGGCAAAGAAGUAUGAAAAAGCUCCUGGCCAGAUCUGUAGAUGCUGGAGCAUCCGGAAGAGGAUGUGAUUACAAUACCAAAAUCCACCAAAUGUGAAAGAGUGAAGGAAAACUGUCAGGUGACAACCAAUUCUUUUUAUCCCAGAAAUACAGGACCUUGGGAUCAUGACCUGAGUGGAAGGCAGACGCUCAAUCUCUGAGCCACCCAGGGAUCCGGUGUUUUUCUUCUAAUUCAAGUCAACUCAACAAACACUGAGGGUCGGAAUGUGCCAGAUACGAAAGAUGAAGAAGGUCUACCGUCAAGAAGCUCAAGUCUAGUGGGGAGACGUGAUGCAGGGGCACAACAGUCCAGAUGUGUAAAUGGUCUUAUUGGUAUUUACCUGUAAAAGCUUUUACUCCUCUAAAAGCAGGAGUGGCUUGGGAGAAGUAGGGAAGACCUCGUCCAGCAGGUGUUUGAUGAGCUGAAGAGUCAAUUAAUACUGAAGCAGAAAUCUCCUAAGGUGUAUUUCAGACAUAAGCAAAGGCAUGCUUCAUGCACACACACACACACACACACACAACACACACACACACGCACGUGCACACAUCCACUAUUUGUAAGGUACAAGAUGGUCAGUAUGCUGAAUUAGAUGCCUAGGUUGUGUGAGGAGAGGACAAGAAUAGGACUUAUUUAAAACCUUAGAAGACCCUAAGUAAAUGAGAAGAUAAUGCUAUUCUCCAUCCUCUACAGAUAAAACUAAAUAAAAACUAAUCCUACAUCAUAAAGCAAGUGUAGGGAAAUCAAUAGAGUUCUAAUUUUUCACUAGUUUGAUGCAUUGUAAUAACAAAUAUAAAAAUUUUUUCCUAAUAUUUCUUCUCUUUCUUAAGGUAUAUUAAGAACUUACAGAUGGCAAUUAUAGCUAGCUUUUACUGAUGCCUUACUAAAUUCCAGGAGCUAUGAUAAACCCUUCAUGUAGAUUAUGUCACGGAACCCUCCCAACAGCCUUAGGGGGAAAAUACUAUUGUUGCUUUUAUUAUUAUUAUUAUUAUUAUUAUUAUUAUUAUUGGUAAAGAAAUCGAAGCUUAGAGAGAUUAAUUAACUUACCCACAGUCACACAGCUAGAAUGUGAUCCACCCAGGACUGAUGGGGUGGGCAGUCUGACAACACCAUCCAAAGGAAUUCUCUGCCUCAACAUCAUGCCUCAAGGAGUCAGUAUAUUAGAAGACUUGGCAAGUGCAAAGUGUUUCCUCCUCACAAUGCUCUUCAGGCCUUGGAUUCAUUCACUCAUUCAGUCAAUAAUUAUCAAGUACCUACUAUGUGCUAAGACUGUGGUAGGCACGGAGGAUCAGAGGAGAUUAUUAUGGAAGUUAUCUCUGUCCUCGUGGAGUUACCAUCGGCUGAUCACAAUUAAAUGUGAGGAGAAUUCUGGCAAGGAUGGUCCUAAAGAAACGUGAGAAGUUCGAGCUAGUUCAGGAACCCGGGAAGUGCUCUCUAAAGAAGUGAGGACUAGGGGCACCUGGGUGGCUCAGUUGGUUACCCAUCUGCCUUCAGCUAAGGUCAGGAUCUCAGGGCCCUGGGAUCCAGCUGCAAGUCUGGCUCUCUGCUCCUUGGGGUGUCUGAUGCUCCCUCUCCCUUUCCUUUCCUUCCACCCCUGCUCAUGCUGUCUCUGCUCUCUCUCUCUCUCCUUCCAAAUAAAUAAAUAAAUAAAUAAAUAAAUAAAUAAUCAAUCUUAAAAAAAAAAGUGAGGACUACACUGAGAUCUAAGGGACCAGCGGAAGUUCCCUUGGUGAACUGGAGAAGGGAGCUUUCUGCAAGGUAAAUGCCAGGAGAGGUGAGCAUGCAAACCGGGCACAGCUCCUCCUCUGAGGAAGGAUUUGCUGCCCCAGGCAGUGGCCGUGCUGGCAGCCCUAUGGGCAUUGCCUCAGCUGCAGAAAGGUGCCUCGCCCAAGGUCACGUCCGCACAGGCCACUUGAGAGGCCCUUUCGGUGGCACAGGAGCCUGCACGUUUGGCUGAGGCUGUCAUGAGCCUCACAGCCUGAUUUCUCCCUUUCCAAUCCUGCUUCCGCCCCCUCCCUUCCACGGGGGUGACUUCAAGGGCACUCCCUAAUAAACAUCCUGAGCACUAACCCUGCCCGAGUCUGUUUCCCGGAGAACCCAAAGGGCGCUGCAGCGCGAGGCCUUUGAUGAGUUAAGGUCCUAAGGGGCUUUCAGACUGACUGUGGGUUGAGUGGGCAAGAGAGAUGGAGUGAGGCUGCAAAGGUGGGCAAGGGUCAAAUAAAUCCCAAAGCACCAUGCUAAGGACUUCUUUUUUUAAAUUUUAUUUACUUAUUCAUGAGACACACAAAGAGAGAUGCUCAACGUUUCAAGUAUAAUGAUUCAUUAUACCUUAGGCUGAAAUGUUGCUAGUUACCAAAACCAUGGUUGUUUGAAAUUUUUUUUCCUCCAAGUUUUAUUUAAAUUCCAGCUAGUUAACAUACAGUGUAAUAUUAGUUUCAGGUAUAGAAUUUAGUAAUUCAUCAC